CUUACCCGUUUUCAUACAAUGCAAGAAUUAGGUCCCCCUGUUUCCAGACUAAUUGGAGAAUUUUUAGAUGGAUCUAAAAAUAUGUUCGAUUUUCCACAAAAACGCAAAAAACCGCAUCUGAGCAUUGUAAAUCUUGUAAGUCGAUUUCUCCUAACAUUUCCAUUGUUAACACUUUCAUUCUUGACAUGUCCAUUGUUGACACUUCCAUUGUUAACAGUUCCCCCGCGGGGAAGUGUUAACAACUCUCCCCCGCGAAGGGAAUUUCGAAAAAUCUUUUCUUAGUGUACGUACCCCAUUAAAAUGCAAUCAAAAAUGCAAAAAACCGCAUCUAAAGUAGUACAGUAGAAACCGAGUUCUUCAGGGUAAGCCUUAAUCCUCUCCCUCUUCCCCACGGGGGGAUUUCAAAAAAUCUGUUCUUAGUGUACAUUCUCGUGAUGUACCCUAACUGUGUACCAAAUUUCAACUUUCAACUCCUAACCGUUUGGGCUCUGCGCUUACUAUUAUUAUUAUAAUCAACCCAUCUCGAUUAUAUAUGUAGAUUUCACAACAACCAGAACUUAUAACACUUGUUGAGUAUUGAGCUGAAUCCUCAUUUUUGCUCCUCCGUUGAUCUGGCAACAUUAGUGAACGACGAUGUGUUGAGCUGGCAACAACAAUACAUCAUACAAUUGCAACAAAAAGAAAUUAAUUUAUAUCAUUAAAUGUAAAUUAUAAUUUAUUUUAACGAAACGUAAAUUUAAACUACAGUGUAUUCACAUAGAACAUAUUCUUGAAGUGUUUCCAACAUACACAUACAAAACACAAACACAAAUAUCUAAUUGAACAGCUUCCAGCAUAGUCGCUAUCGAUCCUCGAGGUGACAAACGAUUUACCUGGAACUCCGAUAAAUUAUUAAUGAUCGCUAUGAGUAGCAGCCAGCUGUGAGUGUAAGCUUAGACAGUGUCCUAGUUUUGCCGACAGUAUCUACGAACAUAAAAGAACCAAACAACAGCGAAAAAGUAAUGCGAGGCAAGCUAAAUAUGUGAAUCCCUUUUCUGGAACAUCUUCCGAAAUAUGGAAAAGGAAUGUCCAGCAAAUAACAGAAGCUGAUAUCGGAAACCAAAAAAAGGCAACGAUUGUGACUGUUGAGUCUGUGGUCACAAUUGUAAUGAUGUUAAAACGAAAACAAAGUGGCAAUGGGUGCAAUGCAGUUUCUGUUUGGUUUCGUAUCAUACGAAACUCCAAGCAUCAUAUGAAAAAGAGAAAGAUGUAUUUAAAUGUUUCAAAUGUGCCUAGCGAUUCAGAUGAAGAUUAAAGCUAUUUUAUGCAUGUGCACGCACGAAUGCUUGCUAGUUAAGAAGUGUAAGAAAUAUAUGUAUUGUAAUAAAAUUAACUCAAUUAACAAUGAAAUAUAAGCUAAAAUAUACUCUGACGAAAUUAGCAAUGUAUUGUCACAAGCUUACCCGUUAAAUUACGAAUGGUACACAAAACAAAAAAUAUAUCACUAGAAAAUCAAGAUAUGAAAAUGCAGCCAUAUUCCAUUAUUUAUUGUUAACAUUUCCAUUUACGAAAUACGCACCCAAUAAUAAAAGAUUUAUUAAUUUUUUUCACAAAUUUGUGAAUGUUUACCCUAAUUUUUUCAAUUUGAAUUGAAUUUUAAACGAUUUUAAAGUUAAUACAAAACAAAUUUUCCUUACCGGAUAUUUGUAAAACUUGGAUAUUUUUCUGCUGUCCGCUUCAAGAGA
rnacentral:lncRNA from 1 species